AUGUAUUCAUGUGUGUUUCUCUUGCAAUUCUUUUCGUUCCUUCAAGAAGCGACCAUCAUCAUGACUCCAACCGUUGGUCAUCCGGGCCUGUUUCUGAAGCCGCACCGUCCACCAAAGCCUGUUCUCCUGAGCUGCCCUGUGAUCUGCCAUUCCAAAAUACAAUAUGUACCUUGUUGUUCUAUUUGUGAAGGAAAACACAACUGGACCAGUGGCACAGGAGUGGUUUAAAGAUGGGCUGGAAUGGUGGCCUCCUUAUGUAAGACAGGAAUACAAUUAUUGACUGUCAAGAAAAGGUUAACUCCAAACCCCCCCAAAAAUCUGUAAGGAGUUUGCUGCACGCCUGCUCUUCCAA
rnacentral:lncRNA from 13 species